GACGGAGGAUGCAAGCGUUAUCCGGAAUGAUUGGGCGUAAAGCGUCCGCAGGUGGCUGUUCAAGUCUGCUGUCAAAGACCGGGGCUUAACUUCGGAAAGGCAGUGGAAACUGAACAGCUAGAGUAUGGUAGGGGCAGAGGGAAUUCCUGGUGUAGCGGUGAAAUGCGUAGAGAUCAGGAAGAACAUCGGUGGCGAAGGCGCUCUGCUGGACCAUAACUGACACUCAGGGACGAAAGCUAGGGGAGCAAAUGGG
rnacentral:rRNA from 1 species